UGCAGCUACUUUUUCUGAGAAGGCCAGUGCGAGCAAUGAGAAUGUAUACUGGAUCAGGCACAAGCUGAUGACUGCAUGAAUCCUGAUGGACCCUGGUAUGAGAAAAUCUGCAGGGAAAAAAGUGAAAAUCCCAUGCAGACAUUGAAAUCAUGUCUCUGUCAAGGUACUGAAAUACAGGACUGCUCGUAAAUCUACUGG